rnacentral:rRNA from 1 species
UAGGGAAUAUUGGACAAUGGGCGAAAGCCUGAUCCAGCCAUGCCGCGUGAGUGAUGAAGGCCUUAGGGUUGUAAAGCUCUUUCAGCGGGGAAGAUAAUGACGGUACCCGCAGAAGAAGCCCCGGCUAACUUCGUGCCAGCAGCCGCGGUAAUACGAAGGGGGCUAGCGUUGCUCGGAAUCACUGGGCGUAAAGCGCACGUAGGCGGCUUUCUAAGUCAGGGGUGAAAUCCUGGAGCUCAACUCCAGAACUGCCUUUGAUACUGGAAAGCUUGAGUUCGGGAGAGGUGAGUGGAACUGCGAGUGUAGAGGUGAAAUUCGUAGAUAUUCGCAAGAACACCAGUGGCGAAGGCGGCUCACUGGCCCGAUACUGACGCUGAGGUGCGAAAGCGUGGGGAGCAAACA